UACGAAGGGGGCUAGCGUUGCUCGGAAUCACUGGGCGUAAAGGGUGCGUAGGCGGGUUUUUAAGUCAGGGGUGAAAUCCUGGAGCUCAACUCCAGAACUGCCUUCGGUACUGAGAGUCUCGAGUCCGAGAGAGGUGAGUGGAACUGCGAGUGUAGAGGUGAAAUUCGUAGAUAUUCGCAAGAACACCAGUGGCGAAGGCGGCUCACUGGCUCGGUACUGACGCUGAGGUGCGAAAGCGUGGGGAGCAAACAGG
rnacentral:rRNA from 1 species